ACGGCAUCAGCCUGUUAUCCUCCAGUAAUGCCCAGUCAGCUGAUGCAAAGAGCCCAGGGAAGAGCACGUCAAAGCACUCUGCACGUGAAAAAUGAGGCUGCCCGAAGCUGGACGACAAGGCAUGUUAGGACUUAAAUUGCUCAGCUUUGUUGGGUCUGAAAUCAUAUUAUGAAGCAACAGUCACUGUGUAUGUAAAGUGGACUGCCAAUUUAGUUGA